ensembl:lncRNA
GGAUGGCUCAUCCCUCCUUGUUCAGGGAUCAGACCUAUCUUCUGUCUGUUUUGGAGUACAAUCUCUGUCAAGCUGUGUUGGCUGUUUAGAGCUAUCCUGAGAAAUCUUAUCCCCAGAAACUAGAUUUUGGGGGUAUUCAUUAGAAUGGCACUCAUUGGUAGUCCUGAAGAGGUAUCUGAGAUCUCCCAGGGGCUCACAGGUGUAUUGAGUGUCCUCUUCUGUUUUCAUCCACGGCUUGACUUGUGAUUUGUUUGCUCACCUGGGUGGCACUGGACUCUGGAGACAGCAGGAAAUGAGACCACAUUCCUGUUCAAAUAACCUGUCUGCAAGGCCCGAGAGCUCUGCAUUCAGCAGUGAGCUGUCUAGCUCCCUUUCGCUGCCUCCAUUGAACACAAUAGAACUAGAAGCUUCUGAAAGCACGUGAAAGAGUUCCAGUUUUCUGACCUACAUCAUUUUUAUGCUACCUGCAGAAGUUUUUUUGACAUUGCUUUCAGGGACAGAUCUUCUGGAAGAAGCAGACAGCUGAAUGAGGCAUCAUCCUUGUGUUUUUUUCCAUACUUCUCUGUCUCACAUCCCUUCUUCCUCAACCUGAAUGCUCUGAG